GCAUCUCAUUAGGUCUUUCAUGGGUUGUAAUGUGGCUUGAGGCAUGAGGUGAGAAUUUUUGGUACGAGGCUAAGGUCAUACUGAACUUCAUUCUGGCACAGACUUCUCAGAAUUUUUUAGAUCCUUGCCUAUUCUUACGGGCCUAAGCACAUUCUUUCCCUUAUUCUUUCUCUUUUUUUUAUUUUCUUUUUCUCCUUCCCCUCUUUUUAUUUCUUUUCUCUUUUUCUGGACUUUUCUCUGUUUUGGGAUUUAGAUUUCCCAUUUUGCACUUUCUUUGUACUAGUCCUGCCCAUAGAAUCCAUCACACUAUUCUCCCUUCCUUUUGCC
rnacentral:lncRNA from 1 species